rnacentral:rRNA from 1 species
GACGAACGCUGGCGGCGUGCCUAAUACAUGCAAGUCGAGCGAAGUUUUUCUGGUGCUUGCACCGGAAAAACUUAGCGGCGAACGGGUGAGUAACACGUAAAGAACCUGCCUCAUAGACCGGGACAACUAUUGGAAACGAUAGCUAAUACCGGAUAAUAGCAUUAACUGCAUGGUUGAUGUUUAAAAGUUGGUUUUGCUAACACUAUGAGAUGGCUUUGCGGUGCAUUAGCUAGUUGGUGGGGUAAAGGCCUACCAAGGCGACGAUGCAUAGCCGACCUGAGAGGGUGAUCGGCCACACUGGGACUGAGACACGGCCCAGACUCCUACGGGAGGCAGCAGUAGGGAAUCUUCCGCAAUGGGCGAAAGCCUGACGGAGCAACGCCGCGUGAGUGAAGAAGGAUUUCGGUUCGUAAAGCUCUGUUGUUAGGGAAGAAUGAUUGUGUAGUAACUAUACACAGUAGAGACGGUACCUAACCAGAAAGCCACGGCUAACUACGUG